rnacentral:rRNA from 1 species
UACGAAGGGGCUAGCGUUGCUCGGAAUCACUGGGCGUAAAGGGUGCGUAGGCGGGUCUUAAGUCAGGGGUGAAAUCCUGGAGCUCAACUCCAGAACUGCCUUUGAUACUGAGGAUCUUGAGUACGGGAGAGGUGAGUGGAACUCGACGUGUAGAGGUAGAAAUUCGUAGAUAUUCGGAAGAACACCAGUGGCGAAGGCGGCUCACUGGCCCGGUACUGACGCUGAGGUGCGAAAGCGUGGGGAGCAAACAGG